CUAUCUACAGGCUUAACACAUGCAAGUCGAGGGGCAGCAUGGUCUUAGCUUGCUAAGGCCGAUGGCGACCGGCGCACGGGUGAGUAACACGUAUCCAACCUGCCGUCUACUCUUGGACAGCCUUCUGAAAGGAAGAUUAAUACAAGAUGGCAUCAUGAGUCCGCAUGUUCACAUGAUUAAAGGUAUUCCGGUAGACGAUGGGGAUGCGUUCCAUUAGAUAGUAGGCGGGGUAACGGCCCACCUAGUCUUCGAUGGAUAGGGGUUCUGAGAGGAAGGUCCCCCACAUUGGAACUGAGACACGGUCCAAACUCCUACGGGAGGCAGCAGUGAGGAAUAUUGGUCAAUGGGCGAGAGCCUGAACCAGCCAAGUAGCGUGAAGGAUGACUGCCCUAUGGGUUGUAAACUUCUUUUAUAAAGGAAUAAAGUCGGGUAUGGAUACCCGUUUGCAUGUACUUUAUGAAUAAGGAUCGGCUAACUCCGUGCCAGCAGCCGCGGUAAUACGGAGGAUCCGAGCGUUAUCCGGAUUUAUUGGGUUUAAAGGGAGCGUAGAUGGAUGUUUAAGUCAGUUGUGAAAGUUUGCGGCUCAACCGUAAAAUUGCAGUUGAUACUGGAUAUCUUGAGUGCAGUUGAGGCAGGCGGAAUUCGUGGUGUAGCGGUGAAAUGCUUAGAUAUCACGAAGAACUCCGAUUGCGAAGGCAGCCUGCUAAGCUGCAACUGACAUUGAGGCUCGAAAGUGUGGGUAUCAAACAGGAUUAGAUACCCUGGUAGUCCACACGGUAAACGAUGAAUACUCGCUGUUUGCGAUAUACUGCAAGCGGCCAAGCGAAAGCGUUAAGUAUUCCACCUGGGGAGUACGCCGGCAACGGUGAAACUCAAAGGAAUUGACGGGGGCCCGCACAAGCGGAGGAACAUGUGGUUUAACUCGAUGAUACGCGAGGAACCUUACCCGGGCUUAAAUUGCAGAUGAAUUACGGUGAAAGCCGUAAGCCGCAAGGCAUCUGUGAAGGUGCUGCAUGGUUGUCGUCAGCUCGUGCCGUGAGGUGUCGGCUUAAGUGCCAUAACGAGCGCAACCCUUGUUGUCAGUUACUAACAGGUUCCGCUGAGGACUCUGACAAGACUGCCAUCGUAAGAUGUGAGGAAGGUGGGGAUGACGUCAAAUCAGCACGGCCCUUACGUCCGGGGCUACACACGUGUUACAAUGGGGGGUACAGAGGGCCGCUACCACGCGAGUGGAUGCCAAUCCCCAAAACCUCUCUCAGUUCGGACUGGAGUCUGCAACCCGACUCCACGAAGCUGGAUUCGCUAGUAAUCGCGCAUCAGCCACGGCGCGGUGAAUACGUUCCCGGGCCUUGUACACACCGCCCGUCAAGCCAUGGGAGCCGGGGGUACCUGAAGUGCGUAACCGCGAGGAGCGCCCUAGGGUAAAACUGGUGACUGG
rnacentral:rRNA from 1 species